rnacentral:rRNA from 1 species
UACGUAGGGGGCAAGCGUUGUCCGGAUUUAUUGGGCGUAAAGCGCGCGCAGGUGGUGGGUUAAGUUGUGGGUAAAAGGCAUUGGCUCAACCAAUGUAAGCCUGCAAAACUGGCUCAACUUGAGUGCAGGAGAGGGGAGUGGAAUUCCCGGUGGUAGCGGUGCAAAUGCAUAGAUAAUCGUCAAGAACACCGAUAAGCAGAACGGCAGCUUACUA